rnacentral:rRNA from 1 species
GUCCACGCCGUAAACGAUGGGUGCUAUACGUUGGCGAGCUUGCUCGUCAGUGUCGCAGCUAACGCGUUAAGCACCCCGCCUGGGGAGUACGGCCGCAAGGUUGAAACUCAAAGGAAUUGACGGGGGCCCGCACAAGCGGUGGAGCAUGUGGUUCAAUUCGACGCAACGCGAAGAACCUUACCAGCCCUUGACAUGUGACUCGCCGGGAGCAGAGACGCUCCCUUCGGUUCGGCCGGAGUCAACACAGGUGCUGCAUGGCUGUCGU